AUUGAACGCUGGCGGCAUGCCUUACACAUGCAUGUCGAACGGUAACGGGCCUUCGGGUGCCGACGAGUGGCGAACGGGUGAGUAAUGCAUCGGAACGUACCUUUCAGUGGGGGAUAACGUAGCGAAAGUUGCGCUAAUACCGCAUAUUCUGUGAGCAGGAAAGCAGGGGAUCGCAAGACCUUGCGCUGAUUGAGCGGCCGAUGUCAGAUUAGCUAGUUGGUGAGGUAAAGGCUCACCAAGGCGACGAUCUGGAGCGGGUCUGAGAGGAUGAUCCGCCACACUGGAACUGAGACACGGUCCAGACUCCUACGGGAGGCAGCAGUGGGGAAUUUUGGACAAUGGGGGCAACCCUGAUCCAGCCAUGCCGCGUGAGUGAAGAAGGCCUUCGGGUUGUAAAGCUCUUUCGGCCGGGAAGAAAUCGCACGGGCUAAUACCCUGUGUGGAUGACGGUACCGGAAUAAGAAGCACCGGCUAACUACGUGCCAGCAGCCGCGGUAAUAC
rnacentral:rRNA from 1 species